GUUAAUUGUGGAAAGCAUUGUGCAUUUUUAACCCAUAUAGGUUCUGGGCCAUGCUCAUCACACAACAAUGCAGUCACAGAAUAUCAUGCCUUACUCAAUCAACCAUGCCACAUAGAAAAUGUAAUAGUAGCGAAGGACAAGGAGAAAGUAGAAAGAAACCGUUUGCGUCUAAAAGUAUCAAUUGCAGUUGUCAAGUGGGUCACACGUCAAGCUUGUGAUGGGGAAUGCUCCUUAUAA
rnacentral:rRNA from 1 species